GUUAUUUAUCUUUUGUCUUGGCACUUAUUCAUACUCCAGGAAGAUCUUCAUUAAUGUAUGACAAUUCUUUGGAGAGGUGUGGCAAAAAAACAUCAUGCCAUCUGGAAAAAAAGGAGAUGGUUCACUCUAGGACUGCUUCUUACUAUUCUUAUUCUCUGAAGUGAUCCAUCUCUUUCAGCGUUUCUCCACGUCAAUAUCACGAUGGCUCUUCGACAUUGGGUUAAACAUGCUCCCACUUAUAGGAAGGAGAGGAUAGACCUAUGAUCAGAACCUUCAUACAUGAGGUAUUGGCUCUUUCAUGUGGGGAAGAGUUCUUACCAUUGUUAUUGCUAAUAGCCAUUUAAGACUGAUAUUUUACCAGGUGUGCAUUUCUUUUUCCCCUCCAUGAUAAAUAACUACCAAAGUGUAUUAGAUCAAAUAAAUCGUUUUGGGACAUAAAAGUUCUAAAAACACAAAAGGGGCCUUCUGCUCUGUCUGGUCCUUCCACCUUUCACUUUUAUCCACUAUCUCAUUUGAAGUCCUCCUUUAGAAACCAAGAACCUUUUGUAAUAGGAUUUAAGUCUUACAAUUUAUUCCAUAAUGCUAGCCUUUUAGAAUUAUCAGGUUUCCCAUAAACAUAGGCUGUACAGAAAUAUAUUCGUCUACUCGA